rnacentral:lncRNA from 1 species
AGAAAUGGGGUUUUGCCAUGUUGUCCAGGCUGGUCUCAAGCCCCUGGCCUCAAGUGAUCCACCUGCCUUGGCCUCCCAAAGUGCUGAGAUUACAGGCAUAAGCCAACACACUGAGCCCUGGGUCUUGAUUUUUGAAAAUCCAUUCAACCAUUCUGUCUCUUGAUUAGAGAAUUUAGUCCAUUCACUUUCAGUGCUAUUAUUGGCAGAAUGCAUCUUGCUCCACACCGUGCUGCCUGGAGUUAUGGCAGGAGUGAUGCAUGUACUGCUGUGACCACGACACUGGCCCUGCACUGGGUCCUACCUGAACCCAGUGUGGUACUGGGUCUCACCUAAGGCCUAUGAGGACUACUGCCUGUAUACCACUGAUGUUUACUCAAGGACCAAGGGCUCUUCAAUCAGCAGGUGAUGAAUCUUGCCAGGACCGGGUCCUUCCCUUCAGAACAGUGAGUCCCCUUAUGGCACAAGAUGGAGUUUCACCCUGUCACCCAGGCUGGAGUGCAGUGGCGCAAUUUUGGCUCACUGCAAGCUCCACCUCCCGGGUUCAUGCCAUUCUUCUGCCUCAGCCUCCCGAGUAGCUGGGACUACAGGCACCCACCACCACGUCUGGCUAAUUUUUUUGUAUUUUUUUAGUGGUGAUGUGGUUUCACCGUGUUAACAAGGAUGGUCUCGAUCUCCUGACCUCGUGAUCCACCUCCCACAGUGCCAGGAUUACAGGCGUGAGCCACUGUGUCCGGCCCAAUAAUUAAGUUUUGAAAGUGUUUUUGUAUGACAACAAUAAAGAUAGUGCUGGACACUUUCUCAAAAACAUGAUCAAUGUCUUCUAUAUUGCAAGUCACGAUAGUAUUUAGCAAACUUGCUAAUGAAAAUGUGAAACACAGAGAGCCUUCAAGGUGGAAGGCAGCAGACACGACUGUUUAAAGAAUGAGGACACCUCUGAGGCAAAACCUGUUGAAAUUGAAGAAGAGAAUAAAGUUGAAGAAAAGGAAGAUGCUGGAGAAACCCCUACCCGCCCCCCGGCCAGCCACUGUGGCCAUCAUCGUUAAUUUAUGAUCCAUGCAACACAACAUCAAGCCACUAGACCAGAAUACGGAUUCCUCCCAGUGAACAUACUCCAGCAAAUACACCAACAAGAAUGCCUCAAGGCACAGGGGUUGCAAGAAACACCAUCCAAACUGCCCCCCAAACUGUUCUGGCCAUUGACCUCAUACUUUUCAGGAGCUUCCCAGGGCAGCAACUGCCUAGCACCAGAGGACUUUGUUAGUACAGAGAAAUAGUUCAAAUAUGCUAAAAGUGGUUUUUGCAAAAUGAAAAGGUAAGCACUAUGUGGAGAACCUACAGGAGGCCCCUAAGUAUGGACUACAGGCAAAGAAGGAAGUCUUUGAACAGACCUGUGCAACUUUGGCCUAAACAACUAACAGUGCAUUUAGCCUUUCAGAAGCACAGUUCUAAGAAGACCUUAGUUCCACUGAACAUGCUGAUGAAAUCUGUUUGUGUACUGGAUUCCUGUCGAAGCAUGCAUGGGCAGCCUCAAUCAGGUUUACUGUGGAUUUAGUAGACCCAGCAAUUUCUGUUUAUAUGGGACUGAUGUAAGCAUGAUUCUAAAAAUACUCAUUAAACCCUACUUCAAAAAAUUAAAGCAAACUGCUAUACAUGUAUAUUGUGAAAAAGCUUUGUAUCUCAAUUUACAUGCAUUAAGGAAAUAUUUAAACAUCUAUAAUGUUUGGGUAAACAGGUCAUUAUUACUUUAAUACACAAAUUUAAAUUUAGUAAAGAUUUCCAGAUAUAGGACUAAACUUUUUCAUCGUAUUACCUUUCUUUAGUAUAUUAAUUAUGCUUCUCUUAAAAAUAUUAGUUGUUGUCUCGGGGUUUGCAAUGUGUAUUUCUGACUAAUAUAAGUCCACCUUCAAAUACCACUGUAUGACUUAAUAGAUAGUGUAGUUAACUUACAAUAAAAUAUUCCUAAUACCUUCCUUCUGCCCUUUAUAACAUUCUUGUUCACUUCAUUUAUCUGUAUGCUAUCGAUACCUGAUAUAUUGCUACUAUUAUUUUUUAAAAGAUAUUGUUAUAUUUUUGAUUAGUUAAAACAAAGAAAAAUAAAGGAUUUUAUUUUACCUUCAUUUAUUCCUUAUCUAUUGCUUUUCCUUUCUUUAGGUGGAUUCAAUUUCUGAUCUGUAUCAAUUUUCUUCUUCUUUAAAAACUUCUUACAUUUCUUGCACAGAUCUGCUGGUGAUGGAUCCUUUAGAUUUUGUUUGUCUAGGAAAUUAAUUAUUUCCCCUUUACUUUUGUAGUAUACUUUUUACUAUAUAUUUUUUAUGUCAAUGGUUUAAAUAUUUCAUUCCACUGUCUUGCUUGCAUAGUUUCAAAGCGAAUUCUGUUGUAAGUCUUAUUCUUGUUCCCAUGCAGAUCAGCUGUCUCUUGAUUCUGAUGCCUUUCAAGACAUUUUUUUGUCUUUGAUUUCCUGUAGCUUAGGUAUGAUAUGCUUAUGUAUUCACCUUAUUAUAAUUAAUUGUUAUUAUUAUAAUAUUUAUCCUUGGUGUCCUCUGAGCUUUCUGGAUCUGUGGUUUAAUGUCUGUCAUUAAAUUUGAAAAAUCCUUGGUAAUUAUUAUUUCAAAUAUUUCUUCUCCAGUUUCUCCUUUUCCUUCUAGUAGUCUAAUGAUAUGCG